AGAGUUUGAUCAUGGCUCAGGAUGAACGCUGGCGGCGUGCCUAAUACAUGCAAGUCGAGCGAACGGACGAGAAGCUUGCUUCUCUGAUGUUAGCGGCGGACGGGUGAGUAACACGUGGAUAACCUACCUAUAAGACUGGGAUAACUUCGGGAAACCGGAGCUAAUACCGGAUAAUAUUUUGAACCGCAUGGUUCAAAAGUGAAAGACGGUCUUGCUGUCACUUAUAGAUGGAUCCGCGCUGCAUUAGCUAGUUGGUAAGGUAACGGCUUACCAAGGCAACGAUGCAUAGCCGACCUGAGAGGGUGAUCGGCCACACUGGAACUGAGACACGGUCCAGACUCCUACGGGAGGCAGCAGUAGGGAAUCUUCCGCAAUGGGCGAAAGCCUGACGGAGCAACGCCGCGUGAGUGAUGAAGGUCUUCGGAUCGUAAAACUCUGCUAUUAGGGAAGAACAUAUGUGUAAGUAACUGUGCACAUCUUGACGGUACCUAAUCAGAAAGCCACGGCUAACUACGUGCCAGCAGCCGCGGUAAUACGUAGGUGGCAAGCGUUAUCCGGAAUUAUUGGGCGUAAAGCGCGCAUAGGCGGUUUUUUAAGUCUGAUGUGAAAGCCCACGGCUCAACCGAGGAGGGUCAUUGGAAACUGGAAAACUUGAGUGCAGAAGAGGAAAGUGGAAUUCCAUGUGUAGCGGUGAAAUGCGCAGAGAUAUGGAGGAACACCAGUGGCGAAGGCGACUUUCUGGUCUGUAACUGACGCUGAUGUGCGAAAGCGUGGGGAUCAAACAGGAUUAGAUACCCUGGUAGUCC
rnacentral:rRNA from 1 species